CCUACGGGGGGCAGCAGUGAGGAAUAUUGGUCAAUGGACGAGAGUCUGAACCAGCCAAGUAGCGUGAAGGAUGAUUGCCCUAUGGGUUGUAAACUUCUUUUAUAUGGGAAUAAAAUGUUCCACGUGUGGGAUUUUGUAUGUACCAUAUGAAUAAGGAUCGGCUAACUCCGUGCCAGCAGCCGCGGUAAUACGGAGGAUCCGAGCGUUAUCCGGAUUUAUUGGGUUUAAAGGGAGCGUAGGUGGAUUGUUAAGUCAGUUGUGAAAGUUUGCGGCUCAACCGUAAAAUUGCAGUUGAAACUGGCAGUCUUGAGUACAGUAGAGGUGGGCGGAAUUCGUGGUGUAGCGGUGAAAUGCUUAGAUAUCACGAAGAACUCCGAUUGCGAAGGCAGUUCACUGGACUGCAACUGACACUGAGGCUCGAAAGUGUGGGUAUCAAACAGGAUUAGAUACCCCUGUAGUC
rnacentral:rRNA from 1 species